rnacentral:tRNA from 2 species
GGUGUAGCCAAGCGGUAAGGCAACGGACUUUGACUCCGUCAUUGCGCUGGUUCGAAUCCAGCCAUC